CGGAGGGUGCAAGCGUUAAUCAGAAUUACUGGGCGUAAAGAGCGCGUAGGUGGUUUAAGUCAGGUGUGAAAUCCCUAGGCUCAACCUAGGAACUGCAUUUGAAACUGGAAACUAGAGUUUCGUAGAGGGAGGUAGAAUUCUAGGUGUAGCGGUGAAAUGCGUAGAUAUCUGGAGGAAUACCCGUGGCGAAAGCGGCCUCCUAAACGAACUGACACUGAGGCGCGAAAGCGUGGGGAGCAAACAGGAUU
rnacentral:rRNA from 1 species